rnacentral:sRNA from 1 species
CUGUGCUUGUGUAGUCUCUAAUGAUUCUUUCAUAUAGCUUCUUAUGUUCUCUCACUCUGUGUUCUGUGCUUGUGUAGUCUCUAAUGAUUCUUCUGUGUAGCUUCUUAUGUUCUCCCACUCUGUGUUCCACACUUAUAUAGUCUCUAAUGAUUCUUCUGUGUAGCUCUCAAUGAUUUCUUCUGUGACGGGUUAGCAUCUGUUAGUAAUUAACUUAUGCAACCAACUCCCCUCCUGCACCCGCUCGUUCCUGGCUGUUGUGACCUCGCAUAACCCUCGAUGUUCUUCCGCUCUGUGCUCUGUGCUCACAUAGUUUCUAACAAUUCUUCCACAUAGCUCUUAAUGUUCUUCUGCUCCGUGCUCCGCACUCACAUAGUCUCUAACAAUUCUUCCACAUAGCUUCUUAUGUUCCUCUGCUCUGUGUUCCACACUCAUAUAGUCUCUAACAAUUCUUCUGUGUAGCUUCUUACAUUCUCUCACUCUGUGUUCUGCACUCACAUAGUCUCUAACAAUUCUUCCACAUAGCUCUCAAUGAUUCCCCCACCCCAC